GCCACGGUGGUCUAGCGCUUAGAACGCUGGCCUUGUAAUCCUGGGGUCUCGGGUUCGAUUCCCGGCGGUGCCC
rfam:Zootermopsis nevadensis contig5121, whole genome shotgun sequence.